rnacentral:rRNA from 1 species
CCCCUAGAUGUUCUGGGCCGCACGCGCGCUACACUGAACAGUUCAACAAGUCUUAACCUUGGCCGAUAGGUCUGGGUAAUCUUUGAACGCUGUUCGUGAUUGGGAUAGACCUUUGCAAUUAUGGGUCUUCAACGAGGAAUUCCUAGUAAACGCAAGUCAUCAGCUUGCAUUGAUUACGUCCCUGCUCUUUGUACACACCGCCCGUCGCACCUACCGAUUGCAUGGUCCGGUGAAAUCUCGGGACGGCGGCUUGGUCGCUUGCGUCCGACUGCUGAAACUUGAUUAAACCAUAUCAUUUAGAGGAAGGUGAAGUCGUAACA